AGACGUGGGGGGCUAGCGUUGUCCGGAAUUACUGGGCGUAAAGCGCGCGUAGGCGGAUUGACAAGUUGGAGGUGAAAUCCCGGGGCUCAACCCCGGAACUGCCUUCAAAACUGUCAGUCUUGAGUUCGGAAGAGGUGAGUGGAAUUCCUAGUGUAGAGGUGAAAUUCGUAGAUAUUAGGAAGAACACCAGUGGCGAAGGCGACUCACUGGUCCGAUACUGACGCUGAGGUGCGAAAGCGUGGGGAGCAAACAGGAUUAGAAACCCCGGUAGUCC
rnacentral:rRNA from 1 species